GCCUCGGUAGUCUAAAGGCUUAGAACGCUCGCACGGCAUGCAAUAGAUUCAGGUUCGACUCCUGGCCGAGGUA
rnacentral:tRNA from 1 species